UGGCGAAGGGGGGAGGAUGCGUGGGCAAGCUGCCCUGGCCUCUGGGACAGGCCCUGGAAACGGGGUCUAGGGCCGGAUACGAACACUUCUUGGAUCUGAUGGUGGUGGAAAUGUCCGGCGGUGUCGGAUGACCCCGCGGGCUGGCCCCUAGUUGGUGAGGUAACGGGGCGAGGUAGCGACUACCGGUAGCCGGCAUGAGAAGGCGACCGGACACGGUGAUACUGAAACAUGGCCCAGACUCCUACGGGAGGCUCCAAUGGGGAAUAUUGCACAAUGGGCUAAAGCCUGGUGCAACGACCCCACGUGACGGAUGACCGCCUUCGGGUUGUGCUUUAAUCGUUAUACAGCCUUGAAAAGCGAAAGAACUGAAACCGUGACGGUACCUGCUAAGUAAGCACGCACCAGCUAACUUACUGUGCCAGCCUAAGGGCCGGUCAAUACGUAGCGAGCAAGCGGUGUCCAGAAUCAUGAUUGGGCAAUAAAGAGCUCGUAGGCGGCCUGUCAUGAUCGGAUGUGAAAGCCCGCGGUGCAUAACCCUCGGAUCAGCAUUCGAUAUACAGCCCACGCGAUCAGACUCGUGGUAAGAGAGAUCGGAAACUCCAUGAGUACUAUGCAGGUGCAAAUGCACAAAAUAUCAAGAGAUACAACAUGUAGUGGCUGAAAAGCGCGGAUACUAUGGGCCGAUACUGACCACUGACGAACGAAACCGUGGGGAGCUGAACAGGAUUAGAUACCCCUGGAUAGUCCACGCCAGUAAACGUUGGGAUUAACUACGUGUGGUGCGACAUUCCCACGAUCCUCUCGUGGCCGCUAGCUAGACGCAUUAAGUUUCCCCGCCCCUGGGUGACUGACAGGCGCACACAGUGCUAAAACUCAGACCUAGGAAUUGACGACGGGCGCCGCACAAUGCGGCGGCAGCAUGAUGGCUUAAUUUCGACCGCAACGCCUAUAGAACCUUAACAACGUCUAUGAUCAUACACCGAGACGACAGCACGCCAGAAUAUGGCUGCACCCUGGUUGCUCGAUGAUACAAGAAUGAUGCAUGCGUCUGUCGUCAGCUACGGGACGUGCCAGAUGUUUGGGUUAAGUACCUGCUACACGAGCGGCAUACCCUUGUCCCGUGUUGCCAGCAGGCCCUCGUGGUGCUGGGGACUCACGGGAGACCGCCGGGGUCAACUCGGAGGAAGGUGGGGACGACGUCAAGUCAUCAUGCCCCUUAUGUCUUGGGCUGCACACGUGCUACAAUGGCCGGUACAAAGAGCUGCGAUACCGCAAGGUGGAGGGAAUCUCAAAAAGCCGGUCUCAGUUCGGAUUGGGGUCUGCAACUCGACCCCAUGAAGUAGGAGUCGUUAGUAAUCGCAGAUCAGCAUUGCUGCGGUGAAUACGUUCCCGGGCCUUGUACACACCGCCCGUCACGUCACCGAAAGUCG
rnacentral:rRNA from 1 species